rnacentral:misc_RNA from 1 species
AACGCACAUUGCGCCCACCAGUACUCUGGUGGGCAUGCCUGUCCGAGCGUCAUUUCAACCCUCAGGGCCCGUUCGCGGGACCUGGUGUUGGGGAUCGGCCCCACCGGCCGGCCCCGAAAUACAGUGGCGGCACACCCGCGACCUCCUCUGCGUAGUAGCAAUGCCUCGCAGCUGGAUAGCGGUUGCGCCUCGCCGUAAAACCCCCCACUUCUCAAAGGUUGACCUCGGAUCAGGUAGGAAUACCCGCUGAACUUAA